CCUACGGGUGGCAGCAGUGAGGAAUAUUGGUCAAUGGACGAGAGUCUGAACCAGCCAAGUAGCGUGAAGGAUGAAUGCCCUAUGGGUUGUAAACUUCUUUUAUCUGGGAAUAAAAUGUGCCACGUGUGGGAUGUUGUAGGUACCAUAUGAAUAAGGAUCGGCUAACUCCGUGCCAGCAGCCGCGGUAAUACGGAGGAUCCGAGCGUUAUCCGGAUUUAUUGGGUUUAAAGGGAGCGUAGGUGGCUUGUUAAGUAAGUGGUGAAAGUUUGCGGCUCAACCGUAAAAUUGCAGUUGAAACUGGCAGUCUGGAGUACAGUAGAGGUGGGCGGAAUGCGUGGUGUAGCGGUGAAAUGCUUAGAUAUCGCGCAGAACUCCGAUUGCGAAGGCAGUUCACUGGACUGCAACUGACACUGAGGCUCGAAAGUGUGGGUAUCAAACAGGAUUAGAUACCCUGGUAGUC
rnacentral:rRNA from 1 species